rnacentral:rRNA from 1 species
CAACCCUCGAACCCCUCCGGGGGGUCGGCGUUGGGGAUCGGCCCUGCCUCUGGCGGUGGCCGUCUCCGAAAUACAGUGGCGGUCUCGCCGCAGCCUCUCCUGCGCAGUAGUUUGCACACUCGCAUCGGGAGCGCGGCGCGUCCACAGCCGUUAAACACCCAACUUCUGAAAUG